UACGUAGGGGGCAAGCGUUGUCCGGAUUUAUUGGGCGUAAAGCGCGCGUAGGCGGCCCGGUAAGUCCGCUGUGAAAGUCGGGGGCUCAACCCUCGGAUGCCGGUGGAUACUGUCGGGCUUGAGUGCGGAAGAGGCGAGUGGAAUUCCUGGUGUAGCGGUGAAAUGCGCAGAUAUCAGGAGGAACACCAAUUGCGAAGGCAGCUCGCUGGGACGUUACUGACGCUGAUGCGCGAAAGCGUGGGGAGCAAACAGG
rnacentral:rRNA from 1 species